rnacentral:rRNA from 1 species
UGGCGGACGGGUGAGUAAUGUCUGGGAAACUGCCUGAUGAGGGGGAUAACUACUGGAAACGGUAGCUAAUACCGCAUAACGUCGCAAGACCAAAGAGGGGGGACCUUAGGGCCUCUUGCCAUCGGAUGUGCCCAGAUGGGAUUAGCUAGUAGGUGGGGUAACGGCUCACCUAGGCGACGAUCCCUAGCUGGUCUGAGAGGAUGACCAGCCACACUGGAACUGAGACACGGUCCAG